rnacentral:rRNA from 1 species
UACGUAGGGUGCGAGCGUUGUCCGGAAUUAUUGGGCGUAAAGAGCUCGUAGGCGGUCUGUCGCGUCUGCUGUGAAAACUCAGGGCUUAACCCUGAGCUUGCAGUGGGUACGGGCAGACUAGAGUGCGGUAGGGGAGACUGGAAUUCCUGGUGUAGCGGUGAAAUGCGCAGAUAUCAGGAGGAACACCGGUGGCGAAGGCGGGUCUCUGGGCCGAUACUGACGCUGAGGAGCGAAAGCGUGGGGAGCGAACAGG